rnacentral:rRNA from 1 species
GUGCCAGCCGCCGCGGUAAUACGUAGGGGGCAAGCGUUAUCCGGAAUUACUGGGUGUAAAGGGUGCGUAGGCGGUAAGGUAAGUCAGAUGUGAAAGCCCUAGGCUCAACUUAGGGACUGCAUUUGAAACUGCCUUACUAGAGUGCAGGAGAGGAAAGUGGAAUUCCUAGUGUAGCGGUGAAAUGCGUAGAUAUUAGGAGGAACACCAGUGGCGAAGGCGACUUUCUGGACUGUAACUGACGCUGAGGCACGAAAGCGUGGGGAGCGAACAGGAUUAGAUACCCUGGUAGUCCACGCCGUAAACGAUGAGUGCUAGGUGUUGGCCCUUAAGGGUCGGUGCCGAAGUUAACACAUUAAGCACUCCACCUGGGGAGUACGAUCGCAAGAUUGAAACUCAAAGGAAUUGACGGGGGCCCGCACAAGCGGUGGAGCAUGUGGUUUAAUUCGAAGCAACGCGAAGAACCUUACCAGGUCUUGACAUCCCAUUGACCGUAACUUAAUCGUUACUUUCUCUUUUGAGACAAUGGAGACAGGUGGUGCAUGGUUGUCGUCAGCUCGUGUCGUGAGAUGUUGGGUUAAGUCCCGCAACGAGCGCAACCCUUAUCUUUAGUAGCCAGCAAGUUAAGUUGGGGACUCUAGAGAGACUGCCGGGGAUAACUCGGAGGAAGGUGGGGAUGACGUCAAAUCAUCAUGCCCCUUAUGAUCUGGGCUACACACGUGCUACAAUGGCGGAUACAAAGGGAAGCGAAGGAGUGAUCUGGAGCAAACCCCAAAAAAACCGUCCCAGUUCGGAUUGUAGUCUGCAACUCGACUACAUGAAGUUGGAAUCGCUAGUAAUCGCGAAUCAGAAUGUCGCGGUGAAUACGUUCCCGGGCCUUGUACACACCGCCCGUCACACCACGGAAGUCGGAGGCGCCCGAAGCCGGUGACCAAACCUAACGGUUACCAAGAAGGACAAAGCACACUUAUUGCUAUAAUUUUCGCCCUUAGCACCACUGAAAAAUCUCACAUGUACAUUCAAUGUACGAGCAAAAUUUUUCAGCAGCACUAAAAACAAAAAUUCUAACGCAAUAACAGCACAUUGCCCUGCUUGGCAACCGUUGGGAUGGAGCCGUCGAAGGUGAAAUCGAUGACUGGGGUGAAGUCGUAACAAGGUAACC